rnacentral:rRNA from 1 species
AUUGCAGAAUUCAGUGAAUCAUCUAAUCUUUGAACGCACCUUGCGCCCUUUGGCUAUUCCGAAGGGCAUGCCUGUUUGAGUAUCAU